rnacentral:rRNA from 1 species
AUUGAACGCUGGCGGCAUGCUUUACACAUGCAAGUCGAACGGUAACAGGCCGCAAGGUGCUGACGAGUGGCGAACGGGUGAGUAAUGCAUCGGAACGUGCCCAGUCGUGGGGGAUAACUACUCGAAAGAGUAGCUAAUACCGCAUACGAUCGAUGGAUGAAAGCGGGGGACCGUAAGGCCUCGCGCGAUUGGAGCGGCCGAUGUCAGAUUAGGUAGUUGGUGGGGUAAAGGCUCACCAAGCCAACGAUCUGUAGCUGGUCUGAGAGGACGACCAGCCACACUGGGACUGAGACACGGCCCAGACUCCUGCGGGAGGCCGCAGUGGGGAAUUUUGGACAAUGGGCGCAAGCCUGAUCCAGCAAUGCCGCGUGCAGGAAGACGGCCUUCGGGUUGUAAACUGCUUUUGUACGGAACGAAACGGCUCUGGUUAAUACCCGGGGUUAAUGACGGUACCGGAAGAAUAAGCACCGGCUAACUACGUG